rnacentral:lncRNA from 1 species
AAUAGUACGGUUUGAGAAUAAAAGAAAAUUCUAGUAGUCUCCUUUAAUCCUAAAUAACUUUGGCUCUUUUAUUAAUUAUGUUGUUCUUAAAACAGCUUGGAUACUAAAAAUGUCUGGCCGGAUGGAAUACAUGAAUCACUAGAGGAGAACUGAAUGUGACUUUCUUUUUAUUCGUUUAACACAUCCACAAUGAGAACAUCCACUGUAAGGUGACUUGCUUUGAUCCAGCUGCAAAUGCUCAUAUUGUUAAAAAGGAACCCACAGACCCAAAAUGGCAUCACGUAGCCAAGUCAUCAAAUUGAGGCGUAAGACCUAAUCUAAUUGCAGUUUCAACCCUCCUGAGAAAUUUAAGUCUUAGCCAGUCAUUUGGGAAUUUUCUGAUCAAACAAUAAGGUAAUCUGUCACAUGAACCCUUCUCUACCCCCUCUAUAAAGGAAGAUAAAACCUCCUACUCUUCCUGCUAAGGGAAAAUCAUCUGACCUGAAAAAAAUCCUUUUCUUUCGCUAAUAACUCCCUUGCACCACCUUCCUUCCUAUAAAAACCUUAUAUUUUGUAUAACUCCUUGGUGUUCCCCUUUACUUGCUAUAUGAAAUGCUCUCCAUUUCAUGAGUCAUUU